GACGAACGCUGGCGGCGUGCUUAACACAUGCAAGUCGAACGGAAAGGCCCUGCUUUUGUGGGGUGCUCGAGUGGCGAACGGGUGAGUAACACGUGAGUAACCUGCCCUUGACUUUGGGAUAACUUCAGGAAACUGGGGCUAAUACCGGAUAGGAGCUCCUGCUGCAUGGUGGGGGUUGGAAAGUUUCGGCGGUUGGGGAUGGACUCGCGGCUUAUCAGCUUGUUGGUGGGGUAGUGGCUUACCAAGGCUUUGACGGGUAGCCGGCCUGCGAGGGUGACCGGCCACAUUGGGACUGAGGUACGGCCCAGACGCCUACGGGAGGCAGCAGUGGGGAAUAUUGCACAAUGGGCGGAAGCCUGAUGCAGCAACGCCGCGUGCGGGAUGACGGCCUUCGGGUUGUAAACCGCUUUCGCCUGUGACGAAGCGUGAGUGACGGUAAUGGGUAAAGAAGCACCGGCUAACUACGUG
rnacentral:rRNA from 1 species